rnacentral:rRNA from 1 species
GACGAACGCUGGCGGCGUGCUUAACACAUGCAAGUCGAACGGAAAGGCCCUGCUUUUGUGGGGUGCUCGAGUGGCGAACGGGUGAGUAACACGUGAGUAACCUGCCCUUGACUUUGGGAUAACUUCAGGAAACUGGGGCUAAUACCGGAUAGGAGCUCCUGCUGCAUGGUGGGGGUUGGAAAGUUUCGGCGGUUGGGGAUGGACUCGCGGCUUAUCAGCUUGUUGGUGAGGUAGUGGCUUACCAAGGCUUUGACGGGUAGCCGGCCUGAGAGGGUGACCGGCCACAUUGGGACUGAGAUACGGCCCAGACUCCUACGGGAGGCAGCAGUGGGGAAUAUUGCACAAUGGGCGGAAGCCUGAUACAGCAACGCCGCGUGCGGGAUGACGGCCUUCGGGUUGUAAACCGCUUUCGCCUGUGACGAAGCGUGAGUGACGGUAAUGGGUAAAGAAGCACCGGCUAACUACGUG